rnacentral:rRNA from 1 species
GACGAACGCUGGCGGCGUGCUUAACACAUGCAAGUCGAACGGAAAGGCCCUGCUUUUGUGGGGUGCUCGAGUGGCGAACGGGUGAGUAACACGUGAGUAACCUGCACUUGACUUUGGGAUAACUUCAGGAAACUGGGGCUAAUACCGGAUAGGAGCUCCUGCUGCAUGGUGGGGGUUGGAAAGUUUCGGCGGUUGGGGAUGGACUCGCGGCUUAUCAGCUUGUUGGUGGGGUAGUGGCUUACCAAGGCUUUGACGGGUAGCCGGCCUGAGAGGGUGACCGGCCACAUUGGGACUGAGAUACGGCCCAGACUCCUACGGGAGGCAGCAGUGGGGAAUAUUGCACAAUGGGCGGAAGCCUGAUGCAGCAACGCCGCGUGCGGGAUGACGGCCUUCGGGUUGUAAACCGCGUUCGCCUGUGACGAAGCGUGAGUGACGGUAAUGGGUAAAGAAGCACCGGCUAACUACGUG